GUUCGGUUUGUUUUUACGAAAAGCGUUGCUGUCCUGAAUUGAACUGAAGAUAAUUUUCAAGCGUCUGCUCCCAUUGUUACAUAAUUUCGAAGCAAAGUAUUUUAGUGAUUAGAUUCAAUGCCAGAAGCUUUCUUUUUUGCAACAAACCUUUCUUGGAUCCAACAGCAUCAAACAAUUCUAUUACGGAAGGCCAUGGAUGGGCUAAGAUUUCAAGCAAUCAAGAUCUCAACUGAAGGUGGUUUCACCUUUUAUACAUUGAGUUGUCAUCCACAGAUGUUGAAAAACGCAACAACUUUAUUUGAACAAAGAGACCGGAGGGCCUGGAGAAAACCCACGCAAGCACGGGGAGAACAUGUAAACUCCACACAAGCGGGUCCGGGAUUGAACCCAGGACCUCAGAACUGUGAGGCUUUCCAGCUGCUCCACCGUGCCACCCUUUUCCUGUGAAAUAAUGAAUAUAAAACAAUA